CCCAAGAGCCUCUUCUGCGUUGCUGUUUAUGCAAAAAUGAAAUACAAAUUUGAAAUUUGAACUUUUUUCGAUCUUGUGCUUGCUCUUUUUUAUUUUAUUUUUUUUUUUAAUUAAAAGUCUCGCAGCGCUUGCAGCUGCAACGACGCGAUGAGGCACGCAAAAAUCGAAGCACGCAGAGGGCAAAGAAAACAGAAUAUAAAAGAAAAGGCUGCAAUUCAAUUAAAAUGCGGGUGAGCAGCAACAGCAGCAGACAGUGGCCAAGAUUAGGCGUACAACGGGGCGUGGCUGGGUCGAGGCACAAAUUGAAGCCGGACAGACGUCUGGACGAUGGAAUGGGAAAGCGUUGCGAAA